rnacentral:rRNA from 1 species
CCCUUAGAGUUUGAUCCUGGCUCAGGACGAACGCUGGCGGCGUGCCUAACACAUGCAAGUCGAGCGAGGAAGAGGAGAUAGCUUGCUAACUCCUGUUUCUAGCGGCGGACGGGUGAGUAACGCGUGAGCAACCUGCCUUUAUCAGGGGGAUAACGCAUCGAAAGAUGUGCUAAUACCGCGUAAGACCACAGCCUCACAUGGGGCAGGGGUCAAAGGAGCAAUCCGGAUAAAGAUGGGCUCGCGUCCGAUUAGCUAGUUGGUGAGAUAACAGCCCACCAAGGCGACGAUCGGUAGCCGACCUGAGAGGGUGAUCGGCCACAUUGGAACUGAGAGACGGUCCAGACUCCUACGGGAGGCAGCAGUGGGGAAUAUUGGGCAAUGGGCGAAAGCCUGACCCAGCAACGCCGCGUGAGGGAAGAAGGGUUUCGGCUCGUAAACCUCUGUCCUAUGGGACGAAGGAAGUGACGGUACCAUAGGAGGAAGCCCCGGCUAACUACGUGCCAGCAGCCGCGGUAAUACGUAGGGGGCGAGCGUUGUCCGGAAUGAUUGGGCGUAAAGGGCGCGUAGGCGGCCUGCUAAGUCUGAAGUGAAAGUCCUGCUUUCAAGGUGGGAAGUGCUUUGGAUACUGGUGGGCUGGAGUGCAGGAGAGGAAAGCGGAAUUACCGGUGUAGCGGUGAAAUGCGUAGAGAUCGGUAGGAACACCAGUGGCGAAGGCGGCUUUCUGGACUGAAACUGACGCUGAGGCGCGAAAGCGUGGGGAGCAAACAGGAUUAGAUACCCUGGUAGUCCACGCGGUAAACGAUGAAUGCUAGGUGUAGGA